rnacentral:rRNA from 1 species
AUUGAACGCUGGCGGCAUGCCUUACACAUGCAAGUCGAACGGUAACAGGUCUUCGGAUGCUGACGAGUGGCGAACGGGUGAGUAAUACAUCGGAACGUGCCUAGUAGUGGGGGAUAACUACUCGAAAGAGUGGCUAAUACCGCAUGAGAUCUACGGAUGAAAGCAGGGGAUCGCAAGACCUUGUGCUACUAGAGCGGCGGAUGGCAGAUUAGGUAGUUGGUGGGAUAAAAGCUUACCAAGCCGACGAUCUGUAGCUGGUCUGAGAGGACGAUCAGCCACACUGGGACUGAGACACGGCCCAGACUCCUACGGGAGGCAGCAGUGGGGAAUUUUGGACAAUGGGCGCAAGCCUGAUCCAGCAAUGCCGCGUGCAGGAUGAAGGCCUUCGGGUUGUAAACUGCUUUUGUACGGAACGAAAAGCCCUGGGUUAAUACCCUGGGGUCAUGACGGUACCGUAAGAAUAAGCACCGGCUAACUACGUGCCAGCCGCCGCAGUAAAAC